rnacentral:rRNA from 1 species
UACAGAGGGUGCGAGCGUUUGUUCGGAAUUAUUGGGCGUAAAGGGCGCGUAGGCGGCGCCACAAGUCACUUGUGAAAACUCUGGGCUCAACUCAGAGCCUGCAAGCGAAACUGUGGUGCUGGAGUAUGGGAGAGGUGCGUGGAAUUCCCGGUGUAGCGGUGAAAUGCGUAGAUAUCAGGAGGAACACCUGUGGUGUAGACAGCUUACUGGACCAUUUCUGACGCUGAGACACGAAAGCGUGGGUAGCAAACAGG